AAUUCAUGAUGUGGGCAUUUUCUAAGAAUUUCUUUAAAUCUUUCUAAACUAUAAUAAAUGGAUUCUUUUUCAAACUGAGCAAAAGAAGUUAUAUGAUUUCUAAGUUU